CAGCCGUAAACUAUGCGCGUUAGGUGUAUCGGUGACCACGAGUCACCGAGGUGCCGAAGGGAAACCGUGAAACGUGCCGCCUGGGAAGUACGGUCGCAAGGCUGAAACUUAAAGGAAUUGGCGGGGGGGCACCACAACGGGUGGAGCCUGCGGUUUAAUUGGACUCAACGCCGGGAAGCUCACCGGAUAAGACAGCGGAAUGAUUGCCGGGCUGAAGACUCUGCAUGACUAGCUGAGAGGAGGUGCAUGGCGUAGACGUCU
rnacentral:rRNA from 1 species